rnacentral:rRNA from 1 species
GGGUCUGGUCCCGGCCCAGGACGAACGCUGGCGGCAUGCACUUGCCCCGACAAGUCGAGCGAGCUGUCCCUGGUUACCUGGAGGGUCACUGUUCCCUUAUAGAAUUACAUGGCGAACUCGGGUUCCGCGUGGAUGCGAGAAUCCCGAAAGGAUUUUCGCUGAAGUCACGGACAGGGUUCAUCGUUUAUGAGACUGCGGGUCAGUCACUCCAGGUAAACUAAGGCGGCUAAGCGGCGAACGGCGGAGUAACGCGUAGGUAACCUGCCUCAAAGACCGGAAUACCCUCUCCCGAGAGGCCGCGAGGUCACUUGGGAGGGGCUAAUGCCGGAUAAGCUCACGCUCCAUUGAUGGGGCGUGAGAAAAAGGUAGCCCUUAAUCGAGGCUUCCGCUUUGAGAUGGGCCUGCGUCCUAUCAGGUAGUUGGUAGGGUAACGGCCUACCAAGGCGACGACGGGUAGCUGGUCUGAGAGGAUGGUCAGCCCGACCGGAACUGAGACAAGGUCCGGGCCCGGAAGGGCUAGCGGGGUGGAAUCUGUCGCAAUGCGCGCAAGCGUGACGAUGCAAUGCCGUGUGGAGGAAGAAGGCGGGUGAAAACACCCGUUGUAAACUCCCGUCGGACGGGGAGUAAGCCCAGGGGGUGAAAAGCCCCGGCUGGGUGAAAUUACCCGUCAUCGAAAGCGCCGACGAACUACGUGCCAGCAGUCGCGGUGAUACGUGGGGCGCGAGCGUUGUCCGGAAUUACUGGGCGUAAAAGGUUACGUAGGCGGCCGGAUGUAUCGGCUGUGAAAGCCUCUCGGUAAACGGGAGGAGGUCGGCCGAGAUUAUCCGGCUAGAGCGCAGGGGAAGGAAGUGGAACUCCCGGAGGAGCGGUAGAAUGCGGUGAUACCGGGAAGAACCCCAAAGGCGAAGGCAGCUUCCUAUACUGUUGCUGACGCUGAGGUACGAAAGCCAGGGGAGAGAAGCGGUGUGGCACCCGCGUAUUCCUGGCCGUAAAAGUUGGGCACUAGCCCUGAGCCCUCACGAAGGUUCGGGGCGCAGCUAACGCAUUAAGUGCCCCGCCUGGGGAGUACGGCCGCAAGGCUGAAAACCAAGGGACUUGUGGAAAUCUGCACAAUCGGCGGCGAGUGUGGUUUAAUGCGAGUUCGAGCGCAGAACCUCACCAAGGCUGCCUGCAGGAGUAAGCCAGUGGAAACGCUGGCCCUCCUCCAGGGGACGUUCCUUGCAAAUUACAAAUACUCGCGAGAAUUUGUAAUUUGCAAUGAACGUCCCCAGACUGGACCCCUGUGGGUAGGCGUGUAUGGUCACCGUUAGCCCGUGCCGUGAGGUGUGCGGUUAGCUCCGCGUAACGGGCGCAACCCCUUACCCCAUGUUGCCAUCGAACAGCGCCGGGCACUCAUGGGGAACAGCCCGCGAACGAAGUGGGAGGAAGGUGGGGACGACGGCGGAUCGGUAUGCGCCGGAUGCCUUGGGCUACACACACGCGACAGUGGCCGGUACAAAGGGGGCCGAACCCGCGAGGGAGAGGAAAUCCCAAAAAGCCGGUCGUGGUUCGGAUCGCAGUCUGCAACCCGACUGCGUGAAGCUGAAGCCGAUAGUAAUCGCGGAUCAGCAUGCCGCGGUGAAUACGUUCUCAGGUUUCCUUCAUAUAGCUGGCCGCGUCCGCCAAAGGCGGAUCGGCUGAAGCCGUCAACCCAACCCU